rnacentral:rRNA from 1 species
GACAGAGGGUGCAAACGUUGCUCGGAAUUACUGGGCGUAAAGCGCGUGUAGGCGGACCUGCAAGUCGGACGUGAAAGCCCUGGGCUCAACCCAGGAACUGCGUCCGAUACUGGGAGGCUUGAAUCCGGGAGAGGGAUGCGGAAUUCCAGGUGUAGCGGUGAAAUGCGUAGAUAUCUGGAGGAACACCGGUGGCGAAGGCGGCAUCCUGGACCGGUAUUGACGCUGAGGCGCGAAAGCCAGGGGAGCAAACGGG